AGCCCAGCCCUCCCUCUGUUCCCACCGUAGCUCCCGGCUUCCCAGACCCCAGGCUUCCCUCCCUCAGCAGGAAUUAUUUAUUGCUCACCCUCAGGUUCUGGGCCCGGGGGACAGAAGGCCAGCAGGGCUCCGGCUCUGCGUAAAACGCGUGGCCUCAGCAGCCUGGCAAACCUGGGUGCAAAUCCCAGCUUGUGUACUCUGUAGCUGGGUGACUUAGGGCCGGUCUCUACACCAGCCUGAGCCUAGAGUGCCUCCUCUAUAAAUCGGGUGUGGCCAACACCUACUUGUCAGGGCAGUCGUAGGAAAUAGAGGUGAGAAGAAGAAGAAGAAAAUGAGAUUUUGUAUUCUGUUUUAACCCAUUAGAAGCACUCACUUAGUGGUUAUUUCCACAAGCCUCGUGCAGAGACACAGGGUUUCAAAUAACGUUUCUAAGGAUAAAGAAAAAUGUACCAUUCUUUUAUUCUGGAUGGUUCAUUGUGAUAGAAUCGGUGAUGUCAUAGUCAACAGGCUAUUGACCUCAAGGCUGGCGAGCAAAUUUUGACUUCCCACAGCAAAAGUAUUACAGCGUUAAGUGCACAAACACCAUCCACUCCCAACGGUCUAACCCAAGUAGCUUCACAUAACCAGCCUUCGCUGUUUCAAGGUCAUGUGUCUACAGCCCCUGAAGGUAACUCUCAAAAUACAUCUUUGGUUAGUACAGGAAAGUCCUUUUUAAUAAGCUGAGCUCACGCCUCGGAUAACGAGAUAUAGGGCAAGUGAAGAUUUUGCACUUCCGGGUUAUGACGACGCCAUGUGAAUGGCCUCCAGCUUCUCUGUUGGUCUGAGCAGUACUGCGAACCCAGGGCUAUGUACCCCCAAAGUGCCAAAGCACUGCGUCAACAAUUCUGAACUCAGUAGAUGCCACUGAAAUGGGUGGCUUGCGAUU